ACCUGGAGCAAUCUUGGUGUAUCCCAUAAAAUAUAACAACAAGAAAUUCAGCCAGGCCCUGUAAGGGAUUGAAAUUAAGAGCACCCGAACAAAGCAAUCAAGGCUGAUCUGGAACUCCUGACCUCAAUUGAUCCACCUGCCUUGGCCUCCAAAAGUGCUGGAAUUACAGGCGUGAGCCACCAUGCCCAGCCGAAUGCAGAAGUAUGAUUUCUGGUGAGCCAAGGCCAUCCACCUUGAAUCAA
rnacentral:lncRNA from 13 species